rnacentral:rRNA from 1 species
AGAGUUUGAUCCUGGCUCAGAACGAACGCUGGCGGCGCGUUUUAAGCAUGCAAGUCGAACGGUAGAGAGGUGCUUGCACCUCUUGAGAGUGGCGAACGGGUGAGUAACACGUAAGUAAUCUGCCUGAAAGUUGGGGAUAGCCUGUGGAAACAUAGGGUAAUACCGAAUACGAUCUAUAUUCGGGAGGAUAUAGAUGAAAGGAGCUAAGGCUUCGCUUUUAGAUGAGCUUGCGGUUCAUUAGUUAGUUGGUGGGGUAAAGGCCUACCAAGACGACGAUGAAUAGCCGGCCUGAGAGGGUGACCGGCCACACUGGGACUGAGAUACGGCCCAGACUCCUACGGGAGGCAGCAGCUAAGAAUCUUCCGCAAUGGGCGAAAGCCUGACGGAGCGACGCCGCGUGAACGAAGAAGGCCUAACGGUUGUAAAGUUCUUUUCAUUUGGAGGAAUAAUGGUUGUAGGGAAUGACAGCCAGAUGACGUUAAAGAUGGAAUAAGCCCCGGCUAAUUACGUGCCAGCAGCCGCGGUAACACGUAAGGGGCAAGCGUUGUUCGGAUUCAUUGGGCGUAAAGGGCAUGUAGGCGGUACAGCAAGUCUGGUGUGAAAUACCUCGGCUCAACCGAGGAGACGCGCUGGAAACUGUUGAACUAGAGUAUAGGAAGGGAAGCUAGAAUUCCUGGUGUAGGGGUGAAAUCUGUAGAUAUCAGGAAGAAUACCGGUGGCGAAGGCGAGCUUCUGGCCAUAUACUGACGCUGAUAUGCGAAAGCGUGGGGAGCGAACAGGAUUAGAUACCCUGGUAGUCCACGCUGUAAACGAUGUGCACUAGGUGUUGGGAAGAUAUUCUCAGUGCCGCAGCUAACGCGUUAAGUGCACCGCCUGGGGAGUAUGCUCGCAAGGGUGAAACUCAAAGGAAUUGACGGGGGCCCGCACAAGCGGUGGAGCAUGUGGUUUAAUUCGAUGAUACGCGA